rnacentral:rRNA from 1 species
GUGCCAGCAGCCGCGGUAAAACGUAGGGGGCAAGCGUUGCCCGGAUUCACUGGGCGUAAAGCGGGUGUAGGCGGUCCUCUAAGUCGGAUGUGAAAUCCUACGGCUCAACCGUGGAACUGCAUCCGAUACUGGAGGACUUGAGGACGGUAGAGGUCGGUGGAAUUCCCGGUGUACCGGUGAAAUGGGCAGAUAUCGGGAGGAACACCAGUGGCGAAGGCGGCCGACUGGGCCGAUCCUGACGCUGAGACCCGAAAGCCAGGGUAGCGAACCGGAUUAGAUACCCCUGUAGUCC